GAGCUUGCUCUGCUGGAUCAGUGGCGAACGGGUGAGUAACACGUGAGCAAUCUGCCCCUGACUCUGGGAUAAGCGCUGGAAACGGCGUCUAAUACCGGAUACGAGCUGCGAAGGCAUCUUCAGCAGCUGGAAAGAACUUCGGUCAGGGAUGAGCUCGCGGCCUAUCAGCUAGUUGGUGAGGUAACGGCUCACCAAGGCGUCGACGGGUAGCCGGCCUGAGAGGGUGACCGGCCACACUGGGACUGAGACACGGCCCAGACUCCUACGGGAGGCAGCAGUGGGGAAUAUUGCACAAUGGGCGAAAGCCUGAUGCAGCAACGCCGCGUGAGGGACGACGGCCUUCGGGUUGUAAACCUCUUUUAGCAGGGAAGAAGCGAAAGUGACGGUACCUGCAGAAAAAGCGCCGGCUAACUACGUGCCAGCAGCCGCGGUAAUACGUAGGGCGCAAGCGUUAUCCGGAAUUAUUGGGCGUAAAGAGCUCGUAGGCGGUUUGUCGCGUCUGCUGUGAAAACCCGAGGCUCAACCUCGGGCCUGCAGUGGGUACGGGCAGACUAGAGUGCGGUAGGGGAGAUUGGAAUUCCUGGUGUAGCGGUGGAAUGCGCAGAUAUCAGGAGGAACACCGAUGGCGAAGGCAGAUCUCUGGGCCGUAACUGACGCUGAGGAGCGAAAGGGUGGGGAGCAAACAGGCUUAGAUACCCUGGUAGUCCACCCCGUAAACGUUGGGAACUAGUUGUGGGGACCAUUCCACGGUUUCCGUGACGCAGCUAACGCAUUAAGUUCCCCGCCUGGGGAGUACGGCCGCAAGGCUAAAACUCAAAGGAAUUGACGGGGACCCGCACAAGCGGCGGAGCAUGCGGAUUAAUUCGAUGCAACGCGAAGAACCUUACCAAGGCUUGACAUAUACGAGAACGGGCCAGAAA
rnacentral:rRNA from 1 species